rnacentral:rRNA from 1 species
UACGUAGGGUGCAAGCGUUGUCCGGAAUUAUUGGGCGUAAAGAGCUCGUAGGCGGUUUGUCGCGUCUGCUGUGAAAACUCGGGGCUUAACUCCGGGCCUGCAGUGGGUACGGGCAGACUAGAGUGCGGUAGGGGAGACUGGAAUUCCUGGUGUAGCGGUGAAAUGCGCAGAUAUCAGGAGGAACACCGGUGGCGAAGGCGGGUCUCUGGGCCGAUACUGACGCUGAGGAGCGAAAGCUAGGGGAGCAAACAGG